rnacentral:tRNA from 1 species
CCCUCGAUAGCUCAGUUGGCAGAGAGGACGACUGUAGAUGUUACAACAGUGAUCCUUAGGUCGCUGGUUCAAAUCCGGCUCGAGGGA